CCUACGGGAGGCAGCAGUAGGGUAUCUUCCACAAUGGGCGCAAGCCUGAUGGAGCAACGCCGCGUGUGUGAUGAAGGGUUUCGGCUCGUAAAACACUGUUAUAAGAGAAGAACGGCACUGAGAGUAACUGUUCAGUGUGUGACGGUAUCUUACCAGAAAGGAACGGCUAAAUACGUGCCAGCAGCCGCGGUAAU
rnacentral:rRNA from 1 species